UAAUCGGGACCCCCGACGUUUGAAAAAA
rnacentral:sRNA from 1 species